CACCUCCGUUCUUUCAGCUCAUUCUUUUCCAGCAGGGAAAGGUGACUGGCAGAGCUCAUAUGGUCCCUUUCUCUGGGCCAGCAUCUUUAACAGAAGAUAGAGAAAGCACUUCAGCACCACUGACUUCUCAAGACACAGAAAGAGAUGAGUAGACAGAAAUGGAGACCACCUGGUGAUUCUCCCCACAAACAGUAUGGAAGCUACUGGCCCCAGCUGAAUGCCUGGAUUUAUGGGCUUCUCAUCCUGUUCUUGAGUGCCUAUUUUCUUACCAGCUGCGUUGGGGACUCUAACUUGGAGCUGAGGCUGGCCAAUGGAAGCAGCAGAUGUGCUGGGAGAGUGGAGGUGAAAUUCCAGGGUCAGUGGGGCCUGGUGUGCAAUGAUGGCUGGGGCAGAAAUGAGAUUUCUGUGGUCUGCAAGCAGCUGGGGUGUCCAUCUACUUUCAUCAUCCCUGGGUGGAGGAAUUGGACUGUUGCACCUGGACCCUUUUGGUUGGCUGGUGUUUCCUGUCAUGGCAGCGAAUCUAACCUUUGGGAUUGCAGACACAAUGGCUGGAGAGAGCAUAAUUGCACUCGCAGUCAAGAUGCCCAAGUGACCUGCACAGGUGAAGAAGACUUGGAACUGAGGCUGGCAGAUGGGACUAAUCGCUGUGAAGGCAGAGUGGAAUUAAAAGUCAAAGGACAGUGGGGUACUGUGUGUGAUGAUAGUUGGGGCAAUAAGGAAGCUUCCAUAGUGUGUAGACAGUUGGGGUGUGGAUCAGCUCUUCAUUCCCUCGGGGAUGCUAAGAAUGGAUCUGGCCCCAUUUGGCUUGAUGAAGUUUCCUGUCUUGGUAAUGAAUCAGCUCUCUGGAACUGCCAACACAGUGAAUGGGGACAGCAUAAUUGUAAUCAUGAAGAGGAUGUAUCCAUCCUCUGCUCAGAGGGAACAGAUCUGGCCCUGAGACUGGGGAGUGGAACGAGCACCUGUUCAGGGCGAGUGGAGAUGCGAGUAAAUAACCAGUGGGGGACAGUCUGUGAUGACAACUGGAACAACAAUGCUGGGGCUGUGGUGUGCAGGCAAGCAGGGUGCCCCUCUGCUAUGAAUGCCUUGCUUAGGGUUAAUGCUAGUGAUGACAUUGAGCACAUUUGGUUUGAUGACAUUUCCUGCAAUGGGAAUGAGUCAGCUCUCUGGGACUGCAAACAUAGAGGAUGGAAAAACCACGACUGUGGCCACAAUGAGGAUGUUGGAGUACUGUGUUCAGACCCAUCUACCCUGAAGCUGAGGCUUCUUGGUGGAAGCAGCCGAUGUGCAGGAGUAGUGGAGGUGAGAGUCCGUGAGGAGGUGGGAGUUGUGUGCAGAAGAAGCUGGUCACUGGAUGAAGCCACUGUGGUUUGCAGGCAGCUGGGCUGUGGAGUUGCAGUCAGCAUCCCCUUGGAGUACAAUUUUGAAUACAUCCCUGAGCACAUCUGGAUCAGUGGAAUCAAAUGCUACGGAAAAGAGGAAUCUUUUUGGGAUUGUGGGAAUUGGGAAUGGGGAAAGAUUUCCUGUCAUGAGGAUGAAAAGGCUGCUGUCAUUUGCUCAGACCACAUGCAGCCACGACUGAGAGGAGGAGACUUUGCCUGCUCUGGGAGAGUGGAAGUGAAGCACCGAGGCAUCUGGGUGUCUGUCUGCAGUCCUGACUUUUCUUUGCAGACGGGCACUGUGUUGUGCCGGGAGCUGCAGUGCGGCGCCCUAGUCUCCGUCCUGGAUGGGGCUCACUUUGGAGAAGGAGGUGGCCAGGUCCUGCCUGAGGAGCUACAGUGUCAAGGCAAUGAGUCCCAUGUCACGUUGUGCCCUACAGGGCCCAUUUACAGCAGGAAAUGCAGCUCUGACAGGACCAUUGGCAUCAUCUGUUCAAGGUACAGAGAUUUCCAGCUGGUGGAUGGCGACUCCAAGUGUGAGGGGCGUGUAGAGAUCCAGGUCCAGGGGGUCUGGGGAGCCCUCUGUGGCUCCCACUGGGAUCUGGCCAAUGCCAAUGUUCUCUGCAAGCAGCUUGACUGUGGAGUCGCUGUCUCAGUUCCCACAGGAGAGCAUUUUGGAAAAGCAAGAGGUGCUGUAUGGGGGCAUGCAUUUCAUUGCUCAGGGACUGAGCCUUACCUGGAGACUUGUCCAAUGACUGCCUUGGGAGCCCCACUUUGUUCCCCUGCAAAUAUUGCUUCUGUGAACUGCUCAGGAAACCAUUGGGAUGCUCAAUUCCAGUGCCAAGGUGCCCAGGCUCAGUCACCUUUAUGCUCAGGCUUGGACCAGAUUGCUUCUCAACAGACAUUUCUCCCCGUAGAGCUGAGACAGAUCAACCUUGUGAAUGGUGGAGAUCGCUGUGCUGGAAGAGUUGAGGUCUACCAUGAGGGUGCCUGGGGCACCAUCUGUGAUGACUCCUGGGACCUAAAUGAUGCCCAGGUGGUAUGCAGACAGCUUGGCUGUGGAGUGGCCCUCAAUGCCACCAUCUGUGCUCAUUUUGGAGCAGGAACUGGGCCCAUCUGGCUGGAUGAUAUGAACUGCUCUGGGAAUGAAUCCAGUGUGUGGCAAUGUCCCUCAAGAAACUGGGGGAAGCAUGAAUGCAGGCACAAGGAAGAUGCAGGGGUGCUCUGCUCAGAGGUCAUGUCUCUGAGGCUGCUCAGUGAGACCAACACCCAGGUUUGCGCAGGACGACUGGAAGUCUUCUACAAUGGGACCUGGGGCAGUGUUGGCCGAUAUAACAUGACUGCAGUCACUGUGGGAGUGGUCUGUAGGCAUUUAGGCUGUGGGGACAAUGGGAUUCUUGACCCUGCUCCUACAAACAAGGCAAGUUCCAGAACCAUGUGGGUCAGUGGUGUUCAGUGUCCUAAGGGAUCUACCUCCUUCUGGCAGUGUCCAUCAGAUCCAUGGGAGAAGAGACCAUCCAAUGCAAGAGAGGAGGCCUGGAUCACGUGUGUUGGCAAGAUAAGAGUCCAAGGAGGAGACAAGUGCUCAGGACGUUUGGAGGUCUGGCAUGAAGGCUCCUGGGGCACAGUAUGUGAUGACUCCUGGGAUCUGGCUGAUGCUGAGGUGGCUUGUCAACAACUAGGCUGUGGCUCAGCCUUGGGUGCCCCAGGAGAGGCUGCAUUUGGCCAAGGAAUUGGGCCCAUCUGGCUGAAUAAUAUUCAUUGCAAAGGAAAUGAGUCCUCUCUUUGGGACUGUAUUGCUGAUCCCUGGGGUCAGACAGAUUGUGGGCACAAAGAAGAUGCUGGUGUGAGGUGCUCAGGUGUUCCCAUGACUGCAGAACCUCAGGAAUCCUCAGGUCACAAAGCAUUCAGAUUGUUCUGGAUCCUUGGGGUCAUCCUGAUAGUACUGUUCCUGCUUGUUCUCUUGCUGUGGUCCAAGGCUAGAAGAUGGACUUACCAAGUCAGAGGAAAUCUUCUUCAAGAAGCUAUUUACAAGAAGAUGAAUGUUCACCAGAAGGAGGAUGAAGACCUACAUCUAUUCAGCAACCCAGAAGCUCCUAAUGGCUUAAGUGGUGCUCCAAGAUCUGGUUGUGAAGUUGCUGGAGAAGUCUCUGAGCCUGAACCAUUUCCCAUUUUCUGGAUUAACAAAACGGAUGCUUUGGCAACCCCAGAAGAAAGGAACAGGAACAAAAAUUCUACAAGUCAACAUCUACAAGCCCUUGAAAGAGACACCACCUUUUGAAUAGAAGUUGGAAAAAACUGUCACUUGGAUAAACACCAUUGUGAUGUGGAGCUCAGCUUCUUUGGCUUCUGGAGGGAAAAGAGGUGACCUCCAGAAUGGAAGAGAGCUGCACUUUCCAUCUUGUUGCUUUUAUCUCCUACUUGAUCUCUAGCCUCCAAAGAGAAAAGGAAAGAAAAUAAGAAUGGAGAGAAGUGGGCACCUUCCAUCUUUUCCUGUAUCCUGCUUGAUUUCCAGCCUCUCAUGGGAGAAGGAAGUGGAGAGGUGGGCUUUUUACUAUCAUGUCCCACAUGGCUCCUGUACAAUGAACCUCCUGUGGGAAGAGGGAAAAUGCCAUUCCCUCAUAUCAAUCUCCUGCUGCUGGAGUGUUGGAAGAAGGUGCUAUGCCAUCAAAUUCCAAGCUGGUCUCUUGCCGUGGGGAAAGAAAGUAUCACCACUCUUGCUCCAAGUUCUCACUCCCUUGCUAGAACUUCCCAGAGUUCUGAAAUGAUUCAGCCCUUAGAUCAUGUGGAGUUAUGAUUUUUAUGUUCAUUGAUAUGAUAUGUCAUGAAUAUACUAAUAGAUUUGAUUUUUCAGAAUUGCUUUUUGGCUUGUGAGUCAAAAGUGUACGAUGUAGCUUGAAACAAUCAAUCUAAUUUUGACAACUCUCAUCAUCUCACAAUCACAUCCUUGUGCCUGUGUAUCUAAAGUGAAGCAAAUCAGAUUGUAGAAUCUAUUCUGAUCACAUAACUCUGGUUCUGUACCCUAGGAGAGGUGGUCACCACCCCCAAAGAGUUGACUCCAGAAUUGUUGUAUUGUAAGAUUUGUGAUUUCUCAUGGGAAACCACUAAGCAAUUGUUUGUAGUCCACUUUCCCCCUCCCUUUCCAUUUAUGAUUUAUGUAUAUAAUCUCUUCACUUCAGCAAGGUGGAAUUCUGAUCAGGAGAAUUCCCAAUUUGCAAAUAUGUUCCUAAUAAAACCAAUUCAUUAAAUGGC